GUUGAUAAUCAAUGGGCUUAUAUAAUAUAAGUUUAACAAUCUGUAUAAUAAUAUAACUUUGAAACAUUCUUACACUUGUCCAUUGCAUAAAGAAAAUGCAAAGUUAGGAUACUUGCCUGAUGCGCUGCUUACACUUACGCAACUUAGAUUUAUCGUUUCUAUCACGACCUAUCAUUAAUCAAAUCAUUUGUUCGAUUAGUAUAUCAUAACGUAACACAUAACACUGCCUAUUGCAGUCAGCAC
rnacentral:lncRNA from 1 species